AUUCCAGCUCCAAUAGCGUAUGUUAAAGUUGUUGCGGCUAAAAAGCUCGUAGUUGGAUUUCUAGAUGAGAGGAGUGGUCCACUCUAUGAGUGUGUAUCUACUUCCGCUCGUCUAUCCGCUCUGCAAACGUGUCUGCGCUUGACUGCGUGGCGCGGAGGUAGGGCCUUUUACUUUGAGGAAAUUAGAGUGUUCACGGCAGGCAAUCGCCUUGAAUAUAUUAGCAUGGAAUAAUAACAUAGGAUCUUGGUUCUAUUUUGUUGGUUUCUAGGGCUAAGAUAAUGAUUAAUAGGGACAAUUGGGGGCAUUCGUAUCGCGGUGUCAGAGGUGGAAUUCUUGGAUUACUGCGCGACGAACUACUGCGAAAGCAUUUGCCAAGGAUGUUUUCAUCA
rnacentral:rRNA from 1 species